GUGCUUGCUUCGGCAGCACAUAUACUAAAAAUUGGAAUGAUACAGAGAAGAUUAGCAUGGCUCCUGUGUAAGGAUGACACGCAAAUUCAUGAAGCGUUCCGUAUUUUA
rnacentral:snRNA from 1 species